GCUACGUGAAGUUUGGAGGUGUGUAGUGAUGAACUAAUCUGAAGCUACAUGAAGUUUGAAGGUGUGUAGUGAUGAACUAAUCUGAAGCUACAUGAAGUUUGGAGGUGUGUAGUGAUGAACUCUGAAGCUACAUGAAGUUUGGAGGUGUGUAGUGAUGAACUCUGCUGAAGCUACAUGAAGUUUGGAGGUGUGUAGUGAUGAACUCUGCUGAAGCUACAUGAAGUUUGGAGGUGUGUAGUGAUGAACUCUGCUGAAGCUACAUGAAGUUUGGAGGUGUGUAGUGAUGAACUCUGCUGAAGCUACAUGAAGUUUGGAGGUGUGUAGUGAUGAACUAAUCUGAAGCUACAUGAAGUUUGGAGGUGUGUAGUGAUGAACUAAUCUGAAGCUACAUGAAGUUUGGAGGUGUGUAGUGAUGAACUAAUCUGAAGCUACAUGAAGUUUGGAGGUGUGUAGUGAUUAACUCUGCUGAAGCUACAUGAAGUUUGGAGGUGUGUAGUGAUGAACUAAUCUGAAGCUACAUGAAGUUUGGAGGUGUGUAGU